AAAAUCAUGAAUUCCCAUCCGCGAUCCUCCAAGAUUAGAUAAUAUUUCCUGUUGUGAUGUGCUGUUGGAAUCGGAGUCUCCAACUGGUGGGAUAUUGAUGCAGCUGUUUUGCUGUUGCGAAGUACUGGUCAACAUAUCUGAAUAUGUCCCAGAAGAAGAAUAGUUCACAAACACCAUCAUGUUUUCUUGAGCAUUUGAAGCUUCUGAAUAAGAACCAGGCAAAGAUUGCCUAAAAUAUUGAAAUGUCUCAGCUUCUCUUUGAUUGUUUGGAUUAGGAAAAUAAGUUGCCUGAUGCAGCUGUUUUGCUGUUGGGAAGUACCAGUCAACAUAUCUGAAUAUGUCCCAGAAGAAGAGUAGUUCAUGAACACCAUCAUGUUUUCUUGAGCAUUUGAAGCUUCUGAAUAAGAACCAGGCAAAGAUUGCCUAAAAUUUUGAAAUGUCUCAGCUUCUCUUUGAUUGUUUGGAUUAGGAAAAUAAGUUGCCAUCCUUGGAUUUCUCACUACUUCUCCCUUUUUUAGUUCUUAGAUGAUUAAAUUUUGUGUUUCAAAUUCAUAAAGGUUGAUUAUCCAAUCACAG
rnacentral:lncRNA from 1 species